CAAAUUUUAAAUCACCUAGGUUACCUGGGCGAGUUGUAAUUUGAAGAAAGUGUUUUGAUGCUCUGGUUUUGUCUAAAUCCUUUGGGAUAAGGUAUCAUAGAGGGUGAGAAUCCCGUUCAUGAUUUAAACCCUGGGUGUCACCUAAUUCACUUUCUAAGAGUCGAGUUGUUUGGGAUUGCAGCUCAAAAUGGGUGGUAAAUUUCACCUAAGGCUAAAUAUAUGCAAGAGACCGAUAGCGAACAAGUACCGUGAGGGAAAGAUGAAAAGAACUUUGAAAAGAGAGUUAAAUAGUACGUGAAAUUGUUGAAAGGGAAACGAUUGAAGUCAGUCAUGCUUGCAGGGAAUCAGCAAUGGUGGUUUAUUCUUCCUUGUGCACUUUCUUGCUUGGCAGGUUAGCAUCAAUUUCGAUUGUCAUUAAAGAAUUGGGGGAAUGUGGCUUCUUCGGGAGUGUUAUAGACCCUGGUWGAUGUGGCGAUCGGGAUUGAGGAUUGCAGCGAAUGCUUUUUGGCUAGUCACCUGGCUUCUGAUAGUCGCCUUGCUUCCGAUAGCUUGCUAAUGGUGGUGAGACUCGAUUGUCUAGAAGUUAG
rnacentral:rRNA from 1 species